GCCGGGUGUGGUGGCUCACACCUGUAAUCCCAGCACUUUGGGAGGCCAAGGUGGGUGGAUCACUUGAGGCCAGGAAUUCAAGACCUGCCUGGCCAACAUGGCGAGACUCCAUCUUUA
ensembl:misc_RNA Metazoa_SRP Metazoan signal recognition particle RNA